rnacentral:rRNA from 1 species
GACGAACGCUGGCGGCGUGCUUAACACAUGCAAGUCGAGCGGAAAGACGCGGCGCUUGUGCGUUGCACGAGAGGCGAGGGGGGGAGUGAAACGUGAGUAAAAUGCACUUAAAAGUGGGGUAAAUUCAGGAGAAAGGGGCUCUUACAGGAGAGAAGCUGCUGAAGCGUGGGGGGGGUUAGAGAAAUGCGGCGGUGGGGGAUGGACUCGCGGCUUAUCAGCUGGUGGGUGGAGUUGGGGAUUAACCGGGCUGUGAAGGGUAGCCGGCCUGAGAGGGUGACCGGCCACAUUGGGACUGAGAUACGGCCCAGACUCCUACGGGAGGCAGCAGUGGGGAAUAUUGCACAAUGGGCGGAAGCCUGAUGCAGCAACGCCGCGUGCGGGAUGACGGCCUUCGGGUUGUAAACCGCUUUCGCCUGUGACGAAGCGUGAGUGACGGUAAUGGGUAAAGAAGCACCGGCUAACUACGUG